GGCGGUAGUGCGCGGCGUCUUCGGCCGGCGCGGUUCUUUCGCAGUCCUCCAUCGCGCCGUGCCGCACUCAACGCUCCGCCUCCCAGCUGCUCCUCCCGUCUCCCUGCCUCCUUAACCAAACGCUGAAUUACCAAAUGCUACUCCUAACGGUUUGCCCAGGCUCCGGCUAGAGGCCGCUGUUAAUCUCAUCGGAGAGUGAGCUUCCAGAGGGCACAGAUACAUCACAGCUGAUUUCGGGGGCUGCAGCCCAUCACUGCAGGGUUUGACAUGAAGGAAUGAUGCUGGUUUCCAAGCCAAGGCCUCUAAUACCGUGUUCAUCCUGGAGUUUGUCCUGGUACCUUAAUUCUAACAUGAAUGAGGCUAACAAGAACAAGUGAGUUUGGUUAUGGAAAGUGAGACAUUCCUUGAAAAGUAGAACGCAUAUAAAGCUUGGGAGCUAUGUAGCUACACCCCAUAGUAGUGUUAGGGUCUGCUCCUGCUUUUAUACAAGGCUGGAUGCAGCACACCUUGCAGCACCACCCACUGCCAGAACCCAGCCCUGUCACACCCCCCUCCCAGAACUGCUGAGGGCCUUCAAGGUAUGCAUUACUGCAGGAAAUGGAUCAUGGUCUGGACACCACAGAAAGAACCAUCACCUUUCUAUUGAGCUGUAUUGAUGGCAGUAAUGCAGACAGCAGCCUUAGACUUUGCUUUAGAGCAGUAUCAUUUCAGAACAUAGGUUUGUUUUUUUUUUUUAAGAUAUCAGAGCAUAGCUGUGUUCUGUUCCCAGCUUACAGAUAGCCUAGGUCAUCUAGUUUUAUGACAGAAACAAAGGAGGAAAUAGACAAAUAAUUCUUAAGCAGAACUAGGACUAAAAAUGAUAACCAGCUUACCAGAAGUAAUCUGGGGGAAGUUAACGUCCUGCUUUACGCCUAGACAGCUUACAUCCUUGUAGCUACUGGACAUAUCAAUACAGUAGGAAAAACAUCACAACAAAGGCAUGAUGAUGGAAAAACUAACACAAUAGAAAGAAGCUAUAAAAAAAGGAAGAAGAUUGCUCACCUGUAACAGAAGAUUCUAUGAUUGCAAGGGAAAGCUCCCCAAAGGAGAUCUCCAAAGAGAGAUCUUUCCUCACCAGCAGUCAGCCCUUAAAUGAGGUCUAAGAGAGGUGCAGCCAGGCUCCACCCCUUUUGAUCACACACCUGAAUUGCCUUCAUCUGUGCUCCCAGGGCUGACUGGGUCCUUUCCCCAGGUGCUCAAUCAGUGGUUCAUGCCAUUACUCAGCAGUUCCCAUACAACAAUCAAGGCCAUCAGGAGUUAAAGUUGAUACAACUAAAUACAUGCCAUGCUUUUUGCUUAAAUGUUUCUUGAAUAAAUAAUAUACCCAGUGAAAACUUCUAGAGAAGCAUUAGAAAGAGCUGUUCUAUACCAGGGACUGUACUUUAUCCUUAUGGGUCCCUUCCGACUCAGAAAGUUCUACACUUCUGAUUUAUUUAUUUGUUUAUUUUGUACAGAAGGAAAAGCCUACUUGUCUGUUUUUCUGUGAUUGUGUUGUUGGCUUCUGUUUUAUUUUUUUCUUGCUAUAUUUCUCAACUCCGCCCUUCCCCGCCCCUCCCCUGCAACAUGUGCAUUUCAGUGAGUCUGAAAUCUCGAAGGAAUCAGAUAACCCUUCUGUUACUCCAGCUGUUGAUGGGAAUUCAUGGUCUGCAUGUCUGAGUUACGCAGCCACCUCCACCGAGGACAGUUCCAUCUUCUCUCAGGGCUAUGACGUGACACCAUUUCCAAGUGUUUCUUGUAACUUGAAACCUGAUAAUGGGUAGGAAAAUGGAAAAGAGUCAUCUCCGCUUUUGGCACUCGAGGUUUCUGUUUUGCCAGUCACCUUCCUUGUUUUUCUUCUUUGCCUCUCAUUCUGUGUUUUCAGUUAAAAAACAGUGAAGUAAAAUCUUUGGGAGAGAUCUUUCAGUAUCUCGUAUUCGAUCUUUUCCACUGAGAAAGAAAUCUACCUGGUUGUGAUCACUGGAUGAUUUCUGGGUUUUUGUUUUGUUUUGUUUUGUUUUUUGCUUUUUUGUUUUGUUUUGUUUUUUAAUACAUGUACACAAUAGGAAGAUGGUAAAAAUCCUCAGGAUGUAGAAGAAGAGCAGAGCAUCUUUUGGAGAGCACUGGUAGAUGAACUGCUCCAGUUGUCUCUGUAAGGACGAUAUUGUACUGCUCUCCUCAGGGCAAAGUUCUGCCUGAAAAGAUUUCUUGAACACUAAAAUAUGUUGUUCAGGAAUUGCUGUUAAUUUUACUUGCUGGCAAUCCUUUCUAUAGCAAUUACUAUGGCCAUAGCAGUCCUCUGUACAUCACCUUUAUAUCUGUUCUUGAUGCUGAAGCUUUGAUUGUGAGUGCCAAUAACAUACACACAAAGUCUGUUAUGAGCUUCCUUCCUCUCAGAACUCCCUUGUAUUCACAAAUACAAAUUAAGGGAGAGCCAUGUUGCUCCUAUCCAAACUGCCUAUCCCUGACACACCCAGCUGAAGCUGUCUCGAGCUCAGUGUUUCAGGAAGGAAUUUCAAUUUUUCAUAAAAUUUCUUUACUAUUUUUAGCAUUAAUCGCGUGGACAUCAGCAACACUUCUGUGAACCUGUCCUCCUUUUUGACUCAGACCUGCCUCAGAAGCUUAGAGUUUUCCAAACUAUUACUAAGUGUUGCAGGCACUUUCCAAGUAAUACAUAAGAUCAGUGUGAUGUUUAUUCAUGUUUCCCCCGUGUUCCAGAAAGACCUCUGUAGUGAUCUUUAAAGCAAAACCUGUUGUAGUACGUCCAAUUCUACCUCUAGUUCCCUAUUUCUGUUGUCAAACCAGGUUGUUAAACUAUGAGUGAGGGUGAGUUUCUCCUAAUUUGCUCCACGCUCCCUGCAUGUUGACUUUAUUGGGACUUUUGCUUAUGGAGGUCUUUCAUUGCUGGGAGUUCCCUGGCAUAGCAUUUGCACGGUCAUCAAGGCAAGGUGUAUACUGACGCUAAGGACACUGGGCUGGCGGCAGAGCACAGGCCAUUUCUCAUACUAUUUGGACUAUUUGGACUAUUAUAGGGUGUAACUUUUGGACUAUUCUCUGGCAGAUGUAAUGAAGAGAAUUAUGUUUCAAGUUGCACGUUGUUCACCAUCAGGAUUUCAAUGUGAAUAAUAAUAGGCACUUGUAGUUCACAUGUAGCUUCAUUUCUAAAAUAGGAAAUAGUAUUUUCCUUAGAGAAAAUCACCAGAAUGGUGAAGGUAAGUUCCGAUUAAAUAGGUUAAUUAGGUUAAUAGGUUAGACAGAGCAAAGAUCAACAAAACUCAAUUAUUGAAGUUUCAAGACCAACAGAAAGAAGUAUUGGCAGAGAUUUUAAAGUACUAGUGUCUAGUCUCUGCGUGGUUUGGAACAGGUUCAGCUUCAGAAGAUAAUCUGAGAAAUGAGUAGAUGCAAAGGGCAGUCCUUAAUGUUGUAAUGCAGCAAUUCAGGUUCUUCUGAGGAACCUUUCACUUCUCAGGAACGGGAAUGGUGCUCACUUCUGAACUCAACUUUCUCAUUCAGAGUCUUUUCCCUACCUUUGGAGGGGUAUUCAGAGGGUUUUCCUAAAUGACACUAAUACAUCCAAAGGGCUGAAAAUGAGCAAGCGUAAUUGUCCUUUUAUCUUUCAUGUGCUGUCAUCCUAACACAAAUCCACUGGAAUUUUGGCAGCUUUUUGUUGUUGUUGUUGUUGAGAUGACACCACCAGUCUUCUGGAGAAUUUCAAAGCAUUUAAACUGAUAUAUUUCACAAGUAAUCACAGCUGCCUUGCCCUUCCUAAAACUUACAUAAAGAUUUUAAAAGAGUAUACGUAGCUCUGCAUGUUUUUGAAACAAAAUAAAGUUUAUUAUAGUUAAAGUGGAGACGUAGCGUGGGCUUUAGCUCCAAUUGCAUCAUUAGUCCUGCCUACAUUAUUCAAUAUACUUCAGUUGUCAUACGUAUGUUGCAAAACCUGAAGUGUGCAGGGAACAAAUCUGGCCAUUAAAUUUACAUAACGCAUAGUGACAUUUCUCUGGACUGCGGGCAAACACAGGAAAAACAAAACUUACACUUCAGAAAGCCAUCUACAAAUGCAAGGAAAAAAUAGAUUAAGCACAAGGACUGUACUGUAAGAACUAGUGAGGAAAAUCUUUUACUCCAUUUUUAGGCAAGGUUUAUUGCAGGUAACUGGACAGUAGAGUGUAAAAAGCUGAAAUACCAGCUUGGAGUUUUAUAAUGUUUGUGGUAGGAAAAAGAUAAAAAGCUUUAAGACAUUAUUUGAGGUUGAUUAAACAUGUCAACAGUGUGGAGGAAAAGAGCGCAAAGCCCUUAUAAGUGCAAACAUAAAAUAUUACAAGUGUUAUGGUAUUAGAUAAAAUAAAACAUAAAAAUAAUUUCAGGUCUGCAUCCUGGCUACUAAAACUGCACUUAUUUUCCAUUUGCAAUACUAUCAUUUAAGGAUAUAAAGACUUAUAUUUUAAGGGAGAUUAAGCAGGAUACAACAGGAAGUCAAGCACUAAACAGUUGUGAUACCGUAUUGUUGUUUAAAAGAGGGAUUAAGUAGCAUAGAGGAAAGGCUAAGUCAGGGCUUAAACCAGUGAUUGAGCACCUGGUGGGAAGGCAGGGCCAACCCAGGGGAGCUCAGGUGCAUGUAAUGUAGCUAAAUGACUGGGAGUGGUGGACCCGGGAUAUACCCCUUCCCAGCCCUCAUUUAAGGGUUGGCAGUGGAAGGAUGGGUAUCUCUUGUUGGAGGUCCCUGUGAAUCUAUAGUCUUCUGAAGGUAAGUGGGGUUUUCCCCUUUCUUUUGUUUUUGUGCCUGUAGCUGUUGUGUUUGAGCAAAUCCUCACUUGCUGGGGCCUGGGACCUUGCUGCUCUGCUGUUGUUGCUGUGCUUUCUUUCUGUUGUGUUGUAUGUUCACAUACAGCUCUUAAGUAAAGUUGAGUUUUAGAUAAGUUCACCCUGCUUAAUUUCUCUCUGGGAGGAAGUGUAAAGGUUGAGUGAAUAAUUAAGUGAAUUCAGUUUCAGUCUGUACUAAACAGAUGUAACUUGCUGAGACAAAUCGCUGAUGUAUUGAACUUCUCUUGUACAGGAAUCUGCUGAGUAACUUAUUCAAAAUACCAUAUGGGUAAAUGCUCUGUUAAACCCAAUCUCUUUUAGAGAGAAGCUGAAGCAGUAAGCAGUUGAGAGGAUUUUGUUUUUCCUGUCAAGUACAAGUUUCAUUCUAUUUUUUUUUUAGGAUCAGAGCUUCUGUCUCUGUCAGUUUAGAUAAAUCUUCAUAUUUAUUUAGUCUGCUAUGUGGAAAAAAUGUUGAUUGAACUGCUGUGUAUGUUACAGAAGCACCUGAGGAUGCUGUCUGCCUCUUUCUAAUGCUUUUAAUGAGGUUAGAAGAGAUUGAAGUUAUCCGAGAAUCUUCUGACAAAUGAUCUCUGUAUGUGGAAAGGGCUUCUUGUGCUGUGAAUGUACGAGGCUGCCAAGCAGAGAGCACAUGAAAAAGUAAUUGUUUGUUUGAAUGGUGUGGCACGAUACCGCAGUUCUUCAAAGCAUUAUGUGCACAGUACAGAUACAGAUGUCCUGAGUGCUUCACCUCAUUCACCCAACUGCACUUGCAGAUGUCCUUGGAAUGAGGAACACUUCAAAGAUUCAAGUCCAAGUUUCAAGUUCAAUGUGGUUGUUGAAGAGCACCAGUGUUUAAGCACUUUACUUCAGGCCUCUCUUCGGUUCUGAAAACAUCAGAUAACAGCUGCAAGCUUUAAAAAGCAGCUGGAUAUAAGUGAUGUACCCUAUAAUCUGUUCAAAGCCUUUUGUACUGUAACACUUUGUCUUUGAAACCAAUAAUCUCUUUUUUUUUUUGUUUCAAACUUUUUGAUGGAUUAUGUUUCUUGGAAUUGCCCAGACUCUCCAAACUGAGGUUUGUUUUGAGGAACUGUAGGGGCUGGGUUUUAAUUUGUCCCAGUUUUCUCCUCUUGCUGUAUUAUGCAAGCUUCUCAUUUUGUGUUUAUACCAUUAAGAUAUUGCUUAGGAAUACUAUUACUUGAAUAGUUCUGGAGAUCAAAUUGCCCAUGGAAAUACCACAUGUGAUAAUGCUGUUAUACUCUGAUUAUAUUAUAUGCUAUUGUGUAUUGUAAUUAGACAUAUUUUAAAAUAGUAUCCCCGAAGGCCAAUGAAAUCAUGUAAUUCAGAACUACUAGGUUAUCCUAAGCAGUCUGAAGGUUCUGGAUGAGUAGACGAGCUCCUGGAAGUCAGUUUUGUGGGAGACCUAUUGGACAACCCUGUGGAGAAAGCUGCUGGCAGCUACUACUGUCUGGGAAAUUGGUUAUAUAAUGUGUGAUGGAGUUUAAAGGGCCCAAGGGGAGCAUUUUGUUAAUGAUAGGGAAUAAAACUGCCCAUAGGAAUACUGAGGAGCUGGAGGUAGGAAGCGGUUCCAGUGUUGAGAAUGUUUUGUCGUAGUUCUGACUGUAAGUCUUCUCUCAGGAAGAGAGGUGGAGUGGUUGGAUAUGUUUGUAGCUGCAUGCUGUUAUCUAAAACUACUUGUAUUAUGUAGAAAAUACUUUGAAGCAAUUUCUAUGAAGUUAUGUGUUAAGCAUUGUUAUUAAUUGUAAGCAGUUGUUUGUAAUGCUUUGAACUAAGUAAAAUCACCUUCAGGUGAUUUUUCUUUUUUUUCCCCUCUAGUAUUAUCCUCACUAGUAUUGCUUCUGCACAUCCUUAAUGGUACUAUGCUGAUACAACCUAUCUGAAUAAAGUGAAAUAAUGCUUCCUUUGCAGUGUUCAGAGUGCAGGCCUUAAUCAUCCUUAAUUUUUAAGUCUAAUCCUCAAGUUAGAACAAGUGUUUUUUUAUCUUCUUGAGCAACAGAUAAGCUUCUUGUAGAACCACUAUUGCUGAAUGAGAAAUACCACCCUGGAUGUUUUGCAGCCCUCUCAGGGUGACUGAGGAAACUGUUAAAGACAUGGAAGUGGAUUGCUACUUGUGGCAUACUAGCAUGUAACAUCGAUCUGUAACAGUAACUCCAUCACUAAAAAUCUUGGCAGGAAUGGUUGUGGUAACUGAAGCGUAAUGUAAAUGUAUCAAAAUGAUAGGAAUUAAUUUUGAAUUACACUUUCAUUUAGUUUUGUUCUAAUAACUUAAUUUUACUAGUAAAGAGUUUAAAACUAAGAACUUCAAGGCACGUCUUCACAAGUUUGUUCUUGAAACUUGGGGAAAUAAUCUCCGUGCUCCUGAUCUGUGUAGGAGUUCUUGCAUGAGGAGUAGUGGAUUGAGUUCCCCCAGGUUUAAUGCCAGAGUUAACUGAAAGCCCAGAGACAAAAGCUUUGUCGUUGUUUCUGAAGCUGCACUUCUGAUUCAUUCUGUUCUCUAAUUCCCUGUGUCUUGAGAAUGCUGAUCCCAGAUCAGAAUAUGAGCUUGAAAAUGCUGUAAUAUUAAAAUUACAGUUGAGAUAGUGGAUAUAUUUCUGCUCCAUCUAUAGUGUCCAAGACUACGAGGCUGUUUUUUUUUCCAACCCACUAUAGUAAGAUAAUUCAGCAGAAACUUCUAAUUAGCUUUUAUAUUUUACUCCAAUGCUGCUGUUGUCUAUAGGGCAGUAGAAGUAAGCUGUUUUACAGAGUUUAUGCUGUCUGUGGUAUUAGAUCUACAGAAUUUAAUACAGUGCUAUGCUGUCUCACUAUAAUCUUGCUGUGGUUCUCCCCCCCCCCCCCCCCCACACACACACGCACAUCUUAGUAAAUAAAUCCAAAUGCAGAAUUGAAUAGUUAAAACCUCUUAUGUGGCAACUGAUCAUGCUGAAUGACCCAGCAAAACAAGUCCUGAGCUUGAUGAAUGAAAAAUAUACCUGUAAAGAGAACUUCAUCUUGUUUCAGUAAUUUUACCUUAAGUGUGUUUCUAAACUCCUUGUGAUAGCGUGUCUAACACUUGUGAAUUUAAAUGUGAAGAUUAAGAUUCUACUUAGCCCUUCUUGUAAUGUCAUUGCUAAUGAGGAAUUUCCAGAGCUGUGUCAUGGUUCUUAUUUUUUAUUGGUAUUCCAGAUCACAACAUCAUAUAGUGCACUGGGAGUUAAAGUGUUAAUGCUCCAGUCCUGUGGAUCAUUGCUACUUCUGGGUAUAGCUGCCUCAGAAGAGGAGGAGAACUACAUACCCCAGAGGACUGUUCACUGUUUAGUUUCUGUUUUUCAUUCAGAGGGAUAGACAAAACUGUUCACAGACCAAGAUGCCCCCUCUUCCCUUUCUUCUCGUCUCUGCAGUGUGUGUGCUCCCCAGCUGUCUUGUCUGCAGCAUUAGAGUAAGGCCUUCAGUUUUUUGGACACACAUUUAAUUUGUUUAGUAUUCAUUUUAUUUAUUGGCCUCAAUUUCAAUUGUAUUGUAUUAUAUUGUAUUACCUCGCAUUCUGAUAUCAUAUUUAGUAAAUUAACUUUCCUC
ensembl:lncRNA